rnacentral:rRNA from 1 species
CCUACGGGAGGCAGCAGUGAGGAAUAUUGGUCAAUGGGCUUACGCCUGAACCAGCCAAGUCGCGUGAGGGAAGACUGCCCUAUGGGUUGUAAACCUCUUUUGUCAGGGAGCAACGCCGGCUACGUGUAGCCGGACUGAGAGUACCUGCAGAAAAAGCAUCGGCUAACUCCGUGCCAGCAGCAGCGGUAAUCCGGAGGAUGCGAGCGUUAUCCGGAUUUAUGGGGUUUAAAGGGUGCGUAGGCGGAAUGCCAAGUCAGCGGUAAAAUCGCGGGGCUCAACCUCGCUCCGCCGUUGAAACUGGCGUUCUUGAGUGGGCGAGAAGUAUGCGGAAUGCGUGGUGUAGCGGUGAAAUGCAUAGAUAUCACGCAGAACUCCGAUUGCGAAGGCAGCAUACCGGCGCCCAACUGACGCUGAAGCACGAAAGCGUGGGUAUCGAACAGGAUUAGAUACCCGGGUAGUC